rnacentral:lncRNA from 1 species
UUCUUCAGCGGCGAAGAGGAAUAAUCGGCAGCAGCGACUGAGCUUCUUCAGUGGCGGCGGCAGGAGCGGACCUUCUCUCGCGGCGGCAGGCUCCGAUCGACGGCGGAUUUGACAGCGGCGUAGUUCCGGGGGUUGACCUUCUCCAGCAGUGGCGUAUAGUCACAACGGAAGCGGAGGCGAAGGCUUCGCGACGUCGUUUCCGGCAGCGCAGCAGAGCGGCGAAGGAAGGCGGCGUAGUUUCCGGCGGAGGCAGAGCGGCGAAGGCAGCGUCGUCGUUUCCGGCGGAGGCAGAGCUUCGGUGAUGGCUUUCUAAGGCAGGGAUACGUGGAAGGCGGAGGGGGCGAACGCGGGUGACGGUGGGGACGGCCCGGACGCCGGUGAUUGGCAAUCGGAGGGGGGAACCCGGAGGAGGGAUUUGAAGGAGGAAGAAAAUUAGAAGAAGGAAUUUUGUGAAAGUGAGGCAGG